AUUGAACGCUGGCGGCAGGCCUAACACAUGCAAGUCGAACGGUAACAGGAAACAGCUUGCUGUUUCGCUGACGAGUGGCGGACGGGUGAGUAAUGUCUGGGAAACUGCCUGAUGGAGGGGGAUAACUACUGGAAACGGUAGCUAAUACCGCAUAACGUCGCAAGACCAAAGAGGGGGACCUUCGGGCCUCUUGCCGUCGGAUGUGCCCAGAUGGGAUUAGCUAGUAGGUGGGGUAACGGCUCACCUAGGCGACGAUCCCUAGCUGGUCUGAGAGGAUGACCAGCCACACUGGAACUGAGACACGGUCCAGACUCCUACGGGAGGCAGCAGUGGGGAAUAUUGCACAAUGGGCGCAAGCCUGAUGCAGCCAUGCCGCGUGUAUGAAGAAGGCCUUCGGGUUGUAAAGUACUUUCAGCGGGGAGGAAGGGAGUAAAGUUAAUACCUUUACUCAUUGACGUUACCCGCAGAAGAAGCACCGGCUAACUCCGUG
rnacentral:rRNA from 1 species